rnacentral:lncRNA from 1 species
GCUUUCUCUCUCUCUCAAUUGUCUCUACCCCUCUCUCUGUACCUACCUCCACUCUUUCUUCUUCCUCUCCUCUCUCCCGGAGCUCUCUCUGUCUUUCUCUCCCUCUCACGUUCUCUCUCCCAUUCCGUCUCUUCCUCUCUCCCUCUUUCUUCCCUCUCUCUUCUUCCUCUGCUAUAUCUUCUCCCGUAGCUAUGAGUUGGCUAAACAUAUUUUUAGGUUUUAAAUCUUUCAGAUUCGUUUUCUACUUUAUCGCUGUUCUUCAUUGCAGUGUAUUUUGCUCUCUCAGAUCUUACCUUUUCUUUCUGUUACGGGGAUAUAUCCUUGCAUUUAUCGAAUUGCUCCAUUUGUUCACCAAAUCCUUUUUUUGUUGUAAAAAAUUCAGAUCCGUUCUUUGCUAUAUGGUUGUUAUUGACUGCGUUUUUUAUUUUGGUUCAUCACAUUUUACCUGUUUCUUCCAUUUAAGAUGACAAAUCCGUGCUUUCAUCCAAUUGCAGAUCUUUGUACACCUAGUGUUUUUUUGGUCCUGUUGACAUUUUAGUCAUUUUUUUUCACCCAGCCUCUCUCUUUCUUACUCAAGCACUGUUGCAUGAGAUUCAAUCUGCCACCCCUUUUGUCUAGCGUCUGCUUCCUCAGGUACUCUGUCAUAUUUAGAUGCUCACGAAUUUUGGUUUUUAGGGAUGCUUCUUAGGUCUGGCAAUAAAUUAGUCUAGCAUUUGUUUGCCAGAAACAUAUCUCAAGCUUUUUCUUUGACAAGAUAGGUUAAUUUUCAUUUAUAAUUUAUUACAUAACAUGAACAUUUAAUUCUUUACCUAGGAUCUAUCUUCAGAUCACUACUUCCUCUUCAGAUGAAGCUUGGGGAGAAAGCACUCGAUGAAGCUUGUUCCCCAAGGACGAGCUGCAGAAAGCACUCGAUGAAGCUUGGGGAGACAACAUUGUCAUCGACGAUGGUGAUGCUUAUCCCGAAGCCAGGGAUAUAUACUGAUUCCAGCACCAAGGAGGUGCGCUGCCAUCCAAGAUCUAAGUCUGCUUAGUCUGCUAAGGUUAUAUAUGCAACCAACCAAUUUAUCUAUGCCCCAUAACCUAUCAUCAGGAGUUGAUGGCAACACUUUAAUUAGUGUCUUAAUUAGUGUCAUGUUCUCAAUCAAUUUUACUUUGGAACUCAUGUCCGUCUCAUGUCAAUUUUACUUUGGAACUCAUAUCCGUCUCAUGUCAAUUUUACUUUGGAACUCAUGUCUUGUGUUCCAU